rnacentral:lncRNA from 1 species
UAAAAACCAGUGCACAGAAGUCUUUUAAUCUCAUGAAAUUUUAGUUGCAUGUUAUAGGUUAAGUGGAGGGAAAUGAAAGAAGGAACCACACAAACAUUUGCAAAUGGUAAUGUUGUGUGUGAAAGGAAAAUAAGUCACAAUUAAGAGACAAUCUUCAUUGUAUUUCUACAAGUAGUCCCUUGAAUAAUAUUGAGCAUAAGGGGCUGAAGCUCAGACCGGCAUCCUUAGAACAAGCUAUUUGGUCAGGUCAAAUCCCAGUGCUAUUUUACUGUGCUUCAUUCAUUAAACAUAAAGAAAUAAAAGUAUAGCUCCAUGUGCCUAUGUGCACGUGUUGGACAAGUGCAUUAAUGACCGGAGAGCAAUACUGGAAGAAGCACGCUAAGAAAUAUUUUGCAGUAAUAAACCAGCUGACAUGCUAGGUAACACUGCACAAUCAUUUUGAAACAGCUCCUGGGAAGUUUCCAUCCCUUAGCCGGAGUCAUUGGCGAUGUGUAAGGAAACCCCAGAUCACCAGUGUGUUGUAAGUGAUUUUCACCUCUAGCAGUUGUGCCCCUGACAGGGGGGUGAAGAGACGAGUGCCUGCCUCUUUCAUUACCGUUUGAUGUGGAUCCAGCAAGAGUAGCAGCCCUGCAAAGCAACCGCAGUUUGCUUGGUUCUCUACCACUGAGGAGGGAAGGUCUGAAAGGAGGAGCUUCUUCACAUCAAUACUUAGUUUGUGUGCCUGUUGCCAACCAUGCGCUGGGUUUCUCUGAAACAGCACUAAGGAGAGUGGGAAAGACAGAAGAUAAUGAAACAAAUAGUUCAGUAACGAAGAGAAGAAAGUUAGAAG